CCUACGGGUGGCAGCAGUGAGGAAUAUUGGUCAAUGGACGCAAGUCUGAACCAGCCAUGCCGCGUGCAGGAUGACGGCUCUAUGAGUUUUAAACUGCUUUUGUACGAGGGUAAACCCCGAUACGUGUAGCGGGUUGAAAGUAUCGUACGAAUAAGGAUCGGCUAACUCCGUGCCAGCAGCCGCGGUAAUACGGAGGAUGCGAUCGUUAUCCGGAUGUAUUGGGUGAAAAGGGUGCGUAGGCGGAAUGCCAAGUCAACGGUAAAAUCGCGGGGCUCAACCUCGCUCCGCCGUUGCAACUGGCGUUCUUGAGUGCGCGAGAAGUAUGCGGAAUGCGUGGUGUAGCGGUGAAAUGCAUAGAUAUCACGCAGAACUCCGAUUGCGAAGGCAGCAUACCGGCGCCCAACUGACGCUGAAGCACGAAAGCGUGGGUAUCGAACAGGAUUAGAUACCCUUGUAGUC
rnacentral:rRNA from 1 species